rnacentral:rRNA from 1 species
CAGUAGCCGCGGUAAUACGUAGGGUGCGAGCGUUAAUCGGAAUUACUGGGCGUAAAGCGUGCGCAGGCGGUUUUGUAAGACAGGCGUGAAAUCCCCGGGCUCAACCUGGGAAUGGCGCUUGUGACUGCAAAGCUAGAGUGCGGCAGAGGGGGAUGGAAUUCCGCGUGUAGCAGUGAAAUGCGUAGAUAUGCGGAGGAACACCGAUGGCGAAGGCAAUCCCCUGGGCCUGCACUGACGCUCAUGCACGAAAGCGUGGGGAGCGAACAGGAUUAGAUACCCCUGUAGUCCCUGUCUCUUAUAU